AGGAUUUUCAAGCCGGACGUUUCACCAUCGUCAUGGUACGGUUUUAUUCCUCACGUAUGAUGGCAAUAUUUGUAAAAGAUGACUGACAAUACUAUGCUUUCAAACAAAUGAAGGAAAAAUAUUUCUAUUCACGCUGUUUUGAAUGUCGACCGAUUUUAAUAAUUCUUCAUCAGGAGCAUACUAGGUAUGUUAUAUAUAAUACAGCCUAUAUUUAAACAAGAAUAAAAGAAGCACCCAAAAUCGUGUAGUCCACG
rnacentral:misc_RNA from 1 species